GUGAAGAAGGGUUUCGGCUCGUAAAGCUCUGUUGGUAGUGAAGAAAGAUAGAGGUAGUAACUGGCCUUUAUUUGACGGUAAUUACUUAGAAAGUCACGGCUAACUACGUGCCAGCAGCCGCGGUAAUACGUAGGUGGCAAGCGUUGUCCGGAUUUAUUGGGCGUAAAGCGAGUGCAGGCGGUUCAAUAAGUCUGAUGUGAAAGCCUUCGGCUCAACCGGAGAAUUGCAUCAGAAACUGUUGAACUUGAGUGCAGAAG
rnacentral:rRNA from 1 species